CCGUAACUAUAACGGUCCUAAGGUAGCGAAAUUCCUUGUCGGGUAAGUUCCGACCUGCACGAAUGGCGUAAUGAUGGCCAGGCUGUCUCCACCCGAGACUCAGUGAAAUUGAACUCGCUGUGAAGAUGCAGUGUACCCGCGGCAAGACGGAAAGACCCCGUGAACCUUUACUAUAGCUUGACACUGAACAUUGAGCCUUGAUGUGUAGGAUAGGUGGGAGGCUUUGAAGUGUGGACGCCAGUCUGCAUGGAGCCGACCUUGAAAUACCACCCUUUAAUGUUUGAUGUUCUAACGUGGACCCGUAAUCCGGGUUGCGGACAGUGUCUGGUGGGUAGUUUGACUGGGGCGGUCUCCUCCUAAAGAGUAACGGAGGAGCACGAAGGUUGGCUAAUCCUGGUCGGACAUCAGGAGGUUAGUGCAAUGGCAUAAGCCAGCUUGACUGCGAGCGUGACGGCGCGAGCAGGUGCGAAAGCAGGUCAUAGUGAUCCGGUGGUUCUGAAUGGAAGGGCCAUCGCUCAACGGAUAAAAGGUACUCCGGGGAUAACAGGCUGAUACCGCCCAAGAGUUCAUAUCGACGGCGGUGUUUGGCACCUCGAUGUCGGCUCAUCACAUCCUGGGGCUGAAGUAGGUCCCAAGGGUAUGGCUGUUCGCCAUUUAAAGUGGUACGCGAGCUGGGUUUAGAACGUCGUGAGACAGUUCGGUCCCUAUCUGCCGUGGGCGCUGGAGAACUGAGGGGGGCUGCUCCUAGUACGAGAGGACCGGAGUGGACGCAUCACUGGUGUUCGGGUUGUCAUGCCAAUGGCACUGCCCGGUAGCUAAAUGCGGAAGAGAUAAGUGCUGAAAGCAUCUAAGCACGAAACUUGCCCCGAGAUGAGUUCUCCCUGACUCCUUGAGAGUCCUGAAGGAACGUUGAAGACGACGACGUUGAUAGGCCGGGUGUGUAAGCGCAGCGAUGCGUUGAGCUAACCGGUACUAAUGAACCGUGAGGCUUAACCUU
rnacentral:rRNA from 1 species